rnacentral:rRNA from 1 species
UCCUGCCCUUUGUACACACCGCCCGUCGCUACUACCGAUUGAAUGGCUCAGUGAGGCGUCCGGACUGGCCCAGGGAGGUGGGCAACUACCACCCAGGGCCGGAAAGCUCUCCAAACUCGGUCAUUUAGAGGAAGUAAAAGUCGUAACAAGGUCUCCGUUGGUGAACCAGCGGAGGGAUCAUUA